AACGAACGCUGGCGGCAUGCCUAACACAUGCAAGUCGAACGAUCCCUUCGGGGAUAGUGGCGCACGGGUGCGUAACGCGUGGGAACCUGCCCUUAGGUUCGGAAUAACUCAGAGAAAUUUGAGCUAAUACCGGAUAAUGUCUUCGGACCAAAGAUUUAUCGCCUUUGGAUGGGCCCGCGUUGGAUUAGCUAGUUGGUGGGGUAAAGGCCUACCAAGGCGACGAUCCAUAGCUGGUCUGAGAGGAUGAUCAGCCACACUGGGACUGAGACACGGCCCAGACUCCUACGGGAGGCAGCAGUGGGGAAUAUUAGACAAUGGGCGAAAGCCUGAUCCAGCAAUGCCGCGUGAGUGAUGAAGGCCUUAGGGUUGUAAAGCUCUUUUACCCGGGAUGAUAAUGACAGUACCGGGAGAAUAAGCCCCGGCUAACUCCGUG
rnacentral:rRNA from 1 species